UACGUAGGGGGCAAGCGUUGUCCGGAAUCAUUGGGCGUAAAGAGCGUGUAGGCGGCUUGGUAAGUCCGCUGUGAAAGUCCAGGGCUCAACCCUGGAAUGCCGGCGGAACUGUCAAGCUUGAGUCCGGAAGAGGCGAGUGGAAUUCCUGGUGUAGCGGUGGAAAUGCGCAGAUAAUCAGGAGGAACACAUGGCGAAGGCAGCUCGCUGGGACGGUACUGACGCUGAGUACGCGAAAGCGUGGGGAGCAAAACAGG
rnacentral:rRNA from 1 species